rfam:Octopus bimaculoides Scaffold206576_contig_2, whole genome shotgun sequence.
GGGGAAUUAGCUCAGAUGGUAGAGCGCUCGCUUAGCAUGCGAGAAGUGCCGGGAUCGAUGCCCGGAUUCUCCA